AAAGGAUAUGGAAAAAUUUGAUACCUGAUCAAAAGUGCCAUCUUGAUGUCCAUUGUGGUACUUCACGGAAUCCUUCUUGAGUGUGCAGAAAUGAGCAGCUAGAUACACAAGUGUUGAUAAAUAUCGUACAGAAUAACUUUCAGAGAGAGCAUGCACAAGAGAGAACACAAGUUGGGGGAGAGGCAGAGGGAAAAGUAGGCUCCCUGCUCAGCAGGAAGUCUGAUGCAGGACUCAAUCCCAGGACCCUGGGGUCAUGACCUGAGCUGAAGGCAGACGCUUAACCGACUGAACCACCCAGGAAGAAGUGUCUGACAGUGUCGGAAGCCUGGAACUUACUGGAUCAAUGAGAAGGGACUUCUGGCUUCUCAGUUAGACAAGGAUCAGUAGAAGCUGAGCCAUGGAAGCCCACCAAAACCACAAAACAUUAACACUGCUCCUCUGCUUCCAUUCCUGCUACAGAAGCCAUUUGAAGCAUUUUUUUUAUACAGUUCUCAACUUGUGGUAAGAAAUUAAGCCCAAAGCAUCUUAGUAAACCUUGUGUUUUGAUUUACUAAACAUUCAAGAAUGCACUUUCUUCCUUUCGUAGAUUUGUGUCAUGAUUUUAUUUUAAAAAUGCAUGACUUUGUCUGUACUUACUUGUUCCCAGAAAUGGUUCCAUGUGUACAAUACAUUCAUAGUCUUUUAGUUUUCUGAGGAUCUCAGCACACUAAACGAGGAAGAAAGUAGUGUGAACACCAAACCAAGAAAUUGCCGGCAUCUGAACAAGCCUUGCUGCUGGGGCCUAGUUAAGAUAAAUACUCAUCCAUCUAGUGCCUUCAUUUCUGUAAUGUCUCACUGUCCAAGUUAAUAAAUGCUUUCUUGCUAGUUUUUUGGCAUCUCUUUGAAUGAGGAAUGUAAACUGAAAAGGCCUAGGAGACAAAAACUGGCACAUAACUCUGUGAUGAAUAAUAUCAGGAGACACAGAGACUGGCUCAGUAGUCCCAUAUACAGUGCCACAAUCUCUAUCAGAGGACAGAUGGAUUUGCUGCCUGAGAUGGGGCUGUUAUAGAAUUUCUAGACAUAUGAAAAAAUAAAGAAAAAGAAUAAGAACAAAUCCAGGUCCAAUUUUAUGAAAGUAGAAGUUAAGUAUAAAACAAGAGAUUUAUAGAAAGGAUAUUAAAGACAAUUAAAGCUUGAUAAACAGAAUCAUCAACAUAUAUUUAAUCUUUAGAUAUUGGGAAAGGAAAACAAUGUAGGUUUUUUGAAGAACACUUAGAAAUUCUGGGAGAGACUUCCAGCAAAAUUAGACUAAAACUAUUAUUUAGUUAUCUCUGUUUUUGCACUGUAUUAUAAACUAUUACUGUUAAAAAGCCUAAAAAAUCCCCUGGAAAAUCAUGCUCAUCUUUCCUAAGUUAAAUACCACUAAAAAGAAAACUUUCA